rnacentral:rRNA from 1 species
CCUACGGGUGGCAGCAGUGAGGAAUAUUGGUCAAUGGGCGCGAGCCUGAACCAGCCAAGUCGCGUGAGGGAAGACGGUCCUAUGGAUUGUAAACCUCUUUUGUCGGGGAGCAAAAGACGCCCCGCGUGGCGUUCCGAGAUUACCCGCAGAAAAAGCAUCGGCUAACCCCGUGCCAGCAGCCGCGGUAAUACGGAGGGUGCGAGCGUUAUCCGGUUUUAUUGGGUUUAAAGGGUGCGCAGGCGGAAGAUCAAGGCAGCGGUAAAAGUGAGAGGCUCAACCUCUUCGAGCCGUUGAAACUGGUUUGCUUGAGUGAGCGAGAAGUAUGCGGAAUGCGUGGUGUAGCGGUGAAAUGCAUAGAUAUCACGCAGAACUCCGAUUGCGAAGGCAGCAUACCGGCGCUCAACUGACGCUCAUGCACGAAAGUGUGGGUAUCGAACAGGAUUAGAUACCCCAGUAGUC